CGUCUUCGUCGCCUCGUAUCGAACGAACGAGAGAGAAUACCCCUCCGAGUCGGCCAGUCGCCGACGACUUCACGCGGGCAGCGCAGCCGCGUCCCCGACUUCCUUCCCUUGGGACACAGAGAAGGGGGAAGUGAUGAGCUCCUCCUCGUCGGCGUCGGCCGCGCCGCCGGAGGACGACGUCUGCUCCGUCUGCCACGACCGCUUCCGGAUCCCGUGCCAGGCAAACUGCUCCCAUUGGUUCUGCGGAGAGUGCAUCAUCCGUGUUUGGCAUCAUGGACCUGCUGUACAGGCUUGCAAGUGUCCCAUUUGUCGCCGCCUUAUAAAUCUACUGGUACCUGCUCCUUUAUCAGACCAGGAGGAUGAUCCACAAGUUGGCCGUAUUUUGGGAGAGAUUCAGCACUAUAACUGUAUAUUUGGUGGAGCACCACGCAGCCUGACUCAGAGGUUGCAAGACCUACCCUUCUUCAUCCGAAGACUGUUUAGAGAACUAUUGGAUCCCCAGCGGACUCUCCCACUUGUGUUCAGGGCACGGAUGAUGAUGAUGGCUGUGCUGUUUCUGUCCGCAGUUUCAUACCAUCGCCCAAUGCAAUGGAUGUGAGAGACGAGACCGUAUGUAAAUCUGAUAUUCUGACUGAUUUGAACUUGUAGGUUGCAUUGAGUGCAAUUUAUGUGCUGAGCCCUGUCGACAUUCUCCCUGAAAGUGUGCUGGGGCUCUUUGGAUUCGUUGAUGACCUGCUGAUUCUGGUGAUCGUGUUCCUCCACCUCGCCGCCGUCUACCGGUCGUUGCUCCUGUACCGCCAUGGGGGGCAGUAGAAGGCGCUGUGCAUAGUCAUUUGCUUAACUGGGUUCCAUGCGGAGUUUUCGAGGUGGCAGCUUUGGAAGAGUGCUGAGUAGAUGAGGAGGAUAUGAAGGACGGCUGGCUCGUGCUUGUUUUGUAGUAUUCUGCUACGCCUGUUUCCUUAGAUUCUGGAGGGUGGACUUGUGUUGAUGGGAGUGGAUCUCUGUUGUAUUCAGCUUGCCGGAUCUGCACAGUUCAUGGAUAUGACAAUUUGUUUCUCUUGUCAAUCUUGAUUUGGCUCACAUAUUGCUGAUGCCUACAUAUUCUGGAAA